AGAUAUGUUAAAUGUAUAUGAAUUUAGAUUUAUAUUUUAAGUAAAAAAAUCAUAAAUUUUCAAUAUAAAGUAAUACCAAAUAUCACAUUAUUUAAAAUCUCAUCUAUCUAAGUGGAGCCUAAGAGCAUUUUGGUUACAAUUUCUUUUCUAUUUACCACAGUGGCCUCCACAAUGUUAGCAGCUGUAAUACGAAGGGGUUUACAAAUUUUGAAUUUCACUUCUUUU
rnacentral:misc_RNA from 1 species